rnacentral:rRNA from 1 species
UGGGGAAUUUUGGACAAUGGGCGAAAGCCUGAUCCAGCAAUGCCGCGUGUGUGAAGAAGGCCUUCGGGUUGUAAAGCACUUUUGUCCGGAAAGAAAUCCUUGGCUCUAAUACAGUCGGGGGAUGACGGUACCCGGAAGAAUAAGCACCGGCUAACUACGUGCCAGCAGCCGCGGUAAUACGUAGGGUGCAAGCGUUAAUCGGAAUUACUGGGCGUAAAGCGUGCGCAGGCGGUUUGCUAAGACCGAUGUGAAAUCCCCGGGCUCAACCUGGGAACUGCAUUGGUGACUGGCAGGCUAGAGUAUGGCAGAGGGGGGUAGAAUUCCACGUGUAGCAGUGAAAUGCGUAGAGAUGUGGAGGAAUACCGAUGGCGAAGGCAGCCCCCCUGGGCCAAUACUGACGCUCAUGCACGAAAGCGUGGGGAGCAAACAGGAUUAGAUACCCUGGUAGUCCACGCCCUAAACGAUGUCAACUAGUUGUUGGGGAUUCAUUUCCUUAGUAACGUAGCUAACGCGUGAAGUUGACCGCCUGGGGAGUACGGUCGCAAGAUUAAAACUCAAAUGAAUUGAC